rnacentral:tRNA from 1 species
GGGCGUAUAGCUCAGUUGGUUAGAGCGCACGCCUCACACGCGUGAGGUCACUGGUUCGAGUCCAGUUACGCCCA